rnacentral:rRNA from 1 species
GACGAACGCUGGCGGCGCGCUUAACACAUGCAAGUCGAACGGAAAGGCCUGCUUUCCCUUGUGGAUUGCGGGUACUCGAGUGGCGAACGGGUGAGUAACACGUGAGUGAUCUGCCCCCAACUUGGGUAUAAGCCUGGGAAACUGGGUCUAAUUCCCGAUAGGACUGCAGGGUGGUGCCUGUGGUGGAAAACGAUUUUCUAGUGGUUGGGGAUGAGCUCGCGGCCUAUCAGCUUGUUGGUGGGGUAAUGGCCUACCAAGGCGGCGACGGGUAGCCGGCCUGAGAGGGUGGACGGCCACAUUGGGACUGAGAUACGGCCCAGACUCCUACGGGAGGCAGCAGUGGGGAAUAUUGCACAAUGGGCGGAAGCCUGAUGCAGCAACGCCGCGUGCGGGAUGACGGCCUUCGGGUUGUAAACCGCUUUCGCCUGUGACGAAGCGUGAGUGACGGUAAUGGGUAAAGAAGCACCGGCUAACUACGUG